rnacentral:lncRNA from 1 species
AUGUGUGUAUUUUGGUUUUGGAAGGGGAAAAUGUUGCAAUUAUUUUACUACUUUCUAAAACGAAUUUCAAAACCCUCUAACGCGGCGUCGCGUCAUAAAGAAAUUGGCGGCAACAGCCGCACUAGAAAUUCCCAAUCUCUGAAUCUAGGGUUCCGCCACCCCUCCAAGAAUGUUCGGAGCUCAGUCGUCCUCCCCGGCCUUCGCCACCCCUUCCUCCACUCCCGCAUUCGGCACGCCUUCAACUCCGGCGUUCGGUUCAUCGCUCUUCUCCACACCCUUUUCGCAACAAUCCCAACCGCAGCAGCAGCAGCAAACUCCGUCGCUGUUUCAGACGCCUCAGCAACAGCAACAGCAGCAGCAAACUCCAUCGCUCUUUCAGACGCCUCAGCAGCAAACUCCGUCGCUGUUUCAGACGCCUCAGCCGCAGCAACAGCAACAGCAGAGCCCCUUCGGCUUCACGACUACGUUUAAUAAUGCUCAGCAACAGCAAGCGACUCUUUUUAAUAAUGCUUCUCCAACCAAUUUCAUGAAUCAGCAAUUGACCACUCAGAUGGCCC